rnacentral:rRNA from 1 species
GACGAACGCUGGCGGCGUGCUUAACACAUGCAAGUCGAACGGAAAGGCCCUGCUUUUGUGGGGUGCUCGAGUGGCGAACGGGUGAGUAACACGUGAGUAACCUGCCCUUGACUUUGGGAUAACUUCAGGAAACUGGGGCUAAUACCGGAUAGGAGCUCCUGCUGCAUGGUGGGGGUUGGAAAGUUUCGGCGGUUGGGGAUGGACUCGCGGCUUAUCAGCUUGUUGGUGGGGUAGUGGCUUACCAAGGCUUUGACGGGUAGCCGGCCUGAGAGGGUGACCGGCCACAUUGGGACUGAGGUACGGCCCAGACUCCUACGGGAGGCAGCAGUGGGGAAUAUUGCACAAUGGGCGGAAGCCUGAUGCAGCAACGCCGCGUGCGGGAUGACGGCCUUCGGGUUGUAAACCGCCUUCGCCUGUGACGAAGCGUGAGUGACGGUAAUGGGUAAAGAAGCACCGGCUAACUACGUG